rnacentral:rRNA from 1 species
GACGAACGCUGGCGGCGUGCUUAACACAUGCAAGUCGAACGGAAAGGCCCUGCUUUUGUGGGGUGCUCGAGUGGCGAACGGGUGAGUAACACGUGAGUAACCUGCCCUUGACUUUGGGAUAACUUCAGGAAACUGGGGCUAAUACCGGAUAGGAGCUCCUGCUGCAUGGUGGGGGUUGGAAAGUUUCGGCGGUUGGGGAUGGACUCGCGGCUUAUCAGCUUGUUGGUGGGGUAGUGGCUUACCAAGGCUUUGACGGGUAGCCGGCCUGAGAGGGUGACCGGCCACAAUGGGCCUGAGAUACGGCGCAGACUCCUACGGGCGGCAGCAGUGGGGAAUAUUGCACAACGGGCGGAAGCCUGAUGCAGCAACGCCGCGUGCGGGAUGACGGCCUUCGGGUUGUAAACCGCUUUCGCCUGUGACGAAGCGUGAGUGACGGUAAUGGGUAAAGAAGCACCGGCUAACUACGUG